UUUUUCAGGCUUGCCUUGGUGGGUGUGGUGGGCAGACUAAGUUCCAAAGGCGGAGGACAUGAAUGUCAAGUUGGAGGGGGAGCCUUCCGUGCGGAAACCAAAGCAGCGGCCCAGGCCCGAGCCCCUCAUCAUCCCCACCAAGGCGGGCACUUUCAUCGCCCCUCCCGUCUACUCCAACAUCACCCCAUACCAGAGCCACCUGCGCUCUCCUGUGCGCCUAGCUGACCACCCCUCUGAGCGGAGCUUUGAGCUGCCUCCCUACACGCCGCCCCCCAUCCUCAGCCCUGUGCGGGAAGGCUCUGGCCUCUACUUCAAUGCCAUCAUAUCAACCAGCACCAUCCCUGCCCCUCCUCCC
rnacentral:lncRNA from 1 species